UUUUAAUGUUUGUGUUAUCAAUUUAUGUUGCUUUAAAGUGGACAAACCUUCAAAUUCUUUAUCUUCCACAAACACCUCAAACAUAGCACCACAACCUCCAGAUACAUCUACAACGUUGACGUUUGCCUAUAAGAGAAAUCUGCCAGUUAAUAACUGGUGUAUUUGCUGCUGGGCGUUGUUUUGUUGAACUGACGAUAAAAAUCGUGUUAAAAUCGAGGUAAUUCCACGCAAACGGCUCAUUAUAACCAUAAAUUUCAACCAGAACAAAUGAACAUGAAAUUGUAAUAUGAAGAGAGUUGGCGGUUUGUUAUUUGGAUCUGUUUGACAAAAGGCUUAGAGUGAGGAGUUAGAGUCUAAAUGCUAAUUGUAUGUACACAUUGUACACUACAAUAUUAUGUAAUUUACCAUAGUACAGUGUACUAUCCACUAUUAUGGAAUAAAUCACUUCUAAAAGA
rnacentral:lncRNA from 1 species